UGUCAGUAGAAGUUUGUGUUCAAUUUGGUGCAAGUCAUCUGCCUUGUGAGCCUAUCUGAUACUUGGAUCAAAGCUGAAAUGCAGUCAGAAGGAAAGAAGGAAGUGUUCAGAAGAAUUGAAACAAGGCUGGAUUCUCAGAAACACAAAGACAAAUCCAUUUCCUCCAAGCUGAUGCAACUCUGAAGAUGCCAGGAUGCUUCUGGGAAGGACAGACUCAUUUCCACUCAGCUUGCUUGGGGAGUUGUAGCUGAUCAUGUUCCGAAUCUGGAGCCUGAGACACUUAGAAACGACACUGAUUCUUUCAAGAAAUGCCCAAACUCAUCAAAAGUUGCCAGGGUUGGUGAGGUCCUGUGUCUCCUUCCACCCUCUGCUGUGCCUGCCAGCAUAGAUCAGCAAGGGUCAGCUACAGUAGGAGGCCUGGUAAUGCAGAAAUCUGCAAGUUGGGAGCAACACUGAUUUUCCUGGCAGUGGCUUGCUGGCAUAUGUACAGGAGCUUUUGUUAGCUGUCAGCCUGAAUGGAAUGUCAAUCAUUCCCUUGGAGCCUGAUCUUCAGAUCACUGCACUUUUGGGCUUUUGCCUUCGUCUUCAUAGAGCAGUAACUCAGGUCUGUAGAAGCUGGAAGCCUUAUUUUUUGUUAAGAAGCCCUUGUGAUAUUUAGUCCCCAUGUGGUUUUUUUUUUCAAACUCUACAGAAAAGUUUGAACCCUUUGCAACUGAUAUGCUACCAGUUUUUUUAAUGGGACAGUUUGGAUCACUUACCAUGCUCUGGGUCAUCUGUCACUUUUGCUGGCAGGAGCCAGAUUUCCAGAGUGGAAGUGGGAUGAGUUGCUAAGGAAUGUGUUGUGCUCUAUAUCAUUUCUGCAUUCACUGAUGUGCAACAGAUUUAUCUGUGUAGUUCAAGGCCUCUCUGUACCAGAUGAGUUUGUAUUGAAAUCUCAGACCGUCCCAC